GACGAACGCUGGCGGCGUGCCUAAUACAUGCAAGUCGAACGCACAGUUUAUACCGUAGCUUGCUACACCAUAGACUGUGAGUUGCGAACGGGUGAGUAACGCGUAGGUAACCUGCCUGGUAGCGGGGGAUAACUAUUGGAAACGAUAGCUAAUACCGCAUAAUAUUAAUUAUUGCAUGAUAAUUAAUUGAAAGGUGCAAUUGCCCCACUACCAGAUGGACCUGCGUUGUAUUAGCUAGUAGGUGAGGUAACGGCUCACCUAGGCGACGAUACAUAGCCGACCUGAGAGGGUGAUCGGCCACACUGGGACUGAGACACGGCCCAGACUCCUGCGGGAGGCGGCAGUAGGGAAUCUUCGGCAAUGGACGAAAGUCUGACCGAGCAACGCCGCGUGAGUGAAGAAGGUUUUCGGAUCGUAAAGCUCUGUUGUAAGAGAAGAACGGGUGUGAGAGUGGAAAGUUCACACUGUGACGGUAUCUGACCAGAAAGGGACGGCUAACUACGUG
rnacentral:rRNA from 1 species